CCUACGGGAGGCAGCAGUGGGGAAUAUUGCACAAUGGGGGGAACCCUGAUGCAGCAAUGCCCCGUGAAGGAUGACGGUUUUCGGAUUGUAAACUUCUUUUGUACGGGACGAAGAAAGUGACGGUACCGUAAGAAUAAGCCACGGCUAACUACGUGCCAGCAGCCGCGGUAAUACGUAGGUGGCAAGCGUUAUCCGGAUUUACUGGGUGUAAAGGGCGAGUAGGCGGGAUUGCAAGUCAGAUGUGAAAACUAUGGGCUCAACCGAUAGGGUGCAUUUGAAACUGCAGUUCUUGAGUGAUGGAGAGGCAGGCGGAAUGUCCGGUGUAGCGGUGGAAUGCGUAGAUAUCUGGAGGAACACCAGUGGCGAAGGCGACUAUCUGGCACAUAACUGACGCUGAGGAGCGAAAGCGUGGGUAGCAAACAGGAUUAGAUACCCUUGUAGUC
rnacentral:rRNA from 1 species